UGGGGAAUAUUGCACAAUGGGCGCAAGCCUGAUGCAGCCAUGCCGCGUGUAUGAAGAAGGCCUUCGGGUUGUAAAGUACUUUCAGCGGGGAGGAAGGGAGUAAAGUUAAUACCUUUGCUCAUUGACGUUACCCGCAGAAGAAGCACCGGCUAACUCCGUGCCAGCAGCCGCGGUAAUACGGAGGGUGCAAGCGUUAAUCGGAAUUACUGGGCGUAAAGCGCACGCAGGCGGUUUGUUAAGUCAGAUGUGCAAUCCUCGGGCUCAACCUGGCAACUGCAUCUGGUACUGGCAAGCUUGGCUCUCGUAGAGGGAGGUAGAAUUCCAGGUGUAGCGGUGAAAUGCGUAGAGAUCUGGUGGAAUACCGGUGGCGAAGGCGGCCCCCUGGACGAAGACUGACGCUCAGGUGCGAAAGCGUGGGGAGCAAACAGG
rnacentral:rRNA from 1 species